GUGAGUUGCGUGACAGAGGCGGCGGGAAGGAGGGGGGGGCAGGGGUUGUGCGGAGUUAAUGGGCGUAAAGGGGGCGUAGGAGGCCAGCUAAGUGGAACGUGAAAUCCCCGGGCUAAACUCGGGAACUGCGUCCGAUACUGGCGGGCUUGAAUCCGGGAGAGGGAUGCGGAAUGCCAGGUGUAGCGGGGAAAUGCGUAGAUAUCUGGAGGAACACCGGUGGCGAAGGCGGCAUCCUGGACCGGCAUUGACGCUGAGGCGCGAAAGCUAGGGGAGCAAACGGGAUUAGAUACCCGUGUAGUC
rnacentral:rRNA from 1 species